rnacentral:rRNA from 1 species
UACGGAGGGUGCAAGCGUUAUCCGGAUUCACUGGGUUUAAAGGGAGCGUAGGUGGGUUGGUAAGUCAGUGGUGAAAUCCCCGAGCUUAACUUGGGAACUGCCAUUGAUACUAUCAGUCUUGAAUACUGUGGAGGUUAGCGGAAUAUGUCGAUGUAGCGGUGAAAUGCUUAGAUAUGACAUAGAACACCAAUUGCGAAGGCAGCUGGCUACGACAAUUAUUGACACUGAGGCUCGAAAGCGUGGGGAUCAAACAGG